rnacentral:lncRNA from 8 species
ACAGGUAAUCAAAUGGCUACCCGGACUAUUUGCAUUGUGAGCCCCCCACGCUACUUUUAUAGCCUCGCUACUGUAUAUAGCCUGUCUUUUUACUGUUGUUUUAUUUCUUUACUUACCUAUUGUUCACUUAAUACCUUUUUUGUACUAUUGGUUACAGCCUGUAAGUAAGCAUUUCACUGUAAGGUCUACACCUGUUGUAUUCGGCGCACGUGACAAAUAAACUUUGAUUUGAUUUGAUUUGCAGUUGCUACAUCCAUUCUUGGAAUCAUAAAUUAAUGAUAUGUACCCAUUGAUUCUUGAAGAAUAUAACUUAGAAAUGCCUCAUGAGCUCAGUUCAACAGUCGUACCCCAUCAGAACCCAGAAUAUAAGCUUGUUUUACUCUUAUGUUUGUAAACAAAGUAAUGUAAACAAACACUAAAUAGCCUCAACAAGGUUAAAACUAUAAUUUUGAUAUCAUGGAUGGUCAGUCUCUGCAUCCAUAGCUCUGUCUAUGAAUUUGAGAGUGGUUACAUUUCUCCAGCCCCAUCCCUUUAGCUUUUUACUGAAACGGGGGAGGGCAGAAUGCUUUGUUAUUGUUUCAACUGCUGAUUGCCUCUUCAAGGUGAGACGAGUAUGAUGUUAGAAAACCCAAUGAUAGCUAAUAACCAUGCCUCUACUACUCAACACACUUCUACUACUCAACACACUUCUUCUACUACUCAGCACACUUCUACUACUCAACACACUUCUUCUACUACUCAGCACACUUCUUCUACUCAACACACUUCUUCUACUACUCAGCACACUUCUACUACUCAACACACUUCUACUACUCUACACACUUCUUCUACUACUCAGCACACUUCUUCUACUCAACACACUUCUUCUACUACUCAGCACACUUCUACUACUCAACACACUUCUACUACUCAGCACACUUCUUCUACUCAACACAAUUCUUCUACUACUCAGCACACUUCUACUACUCAACACACUUCUUCUACUACUCAGCACACUUCUUCUACUCAACACAAUUCUUCUACUACUCAGCACACUUCUACUACUCAACACAAUUCUUCUACUACUCAGCACACUUCUUCUACUCAACACACCUCUACUACUCAGCACACUUCUUCUACUACUCAACACACUUCUUCUACUACUCAACACACUUCUUCUACUACUCAACACACUUCUUCUACUACUCAGCACACUUCUACUACUCAACACACUUCUUCUACUACUCAGCACACUUCUACUACUCAACACACUUCUUCUACUACUCAGCCCACUUCUACUACUCAACACACUUCUUCUACUACUCAGCACACUACUACUACUCAACACACUUCUUCUACGACUCAGCACACUUCUUCUACUACUCAGCACACUUCUUCUACUCAACACACCUCUACUACUCAGCACACUUCUUCUACUACUCAACACACUUCUUCUACUACUCAACACACUUCUUCUACUACUCAACACACUUCUACUACUCAGCACACUUCUUCUACUACUCAGCACACUUCUUCUAUUACUAAGCACACUUCUUCUACUACUCAACACACCUCUAGCACUACUCAACACAUUUCUUCUACUAUUCAACACACUUCUUCUACUACUCAGCACACUUCUUCCACUACUCAGCACACUUCUACUACUCAACACACAUCUUCUACUACUCAGCACACUUCUUCUACUACUCAGCAAACUUCUACUAAUCAACACACUUCUUCUACUACUCAACACACUUCUUCUACUACUCAACACACUUCUACUACUCAGCAUACUUCUUCUACUACUCAACACACUUCUACUACUCAGCACACUUCUUCUACUACUCAACACACUUCUUCUACUACUCAGCACAUUUCUUCUACUACUCAACACACUUAUUCUACUACUCAGCACACUUCUUCUACUACUCAACACACUUCUUCUACUACUCAACACACUUCUUCUACUACUCAGCCCACUUCUUCUACUACUCAGCACACUUCUACUACUCAACACACUUAUUCUACUACUCAACACACUUUUCUACUACUCAACACACUUCUACUACUCAGCACACCUCUACUACUCAGCAUACUUCUUCUACUACUCAACACACUUCUACUACUCAGCACACUUUUUCUACUACUCAGCACACUUCUUCUACUACUCAACACACCUCUAGCACUACUCAGCACACUUCUUCUACUACUCAACACACUUCUUCUACUACUCAGCACACUUCUUCUACUACUCAGCACACUUCUUCCAC